rnacentral:misc_RNA from 1 species
AAGUCGUAACAAGGUUUCCGUAGGUGAACCUGCGGAAGGAUCAUUAAUGAAAUGUACCCUCGGGAGGACUGUGCUGGCUCUCGCAGGUGCACGCCCUCCCUUGUUGUCCGUCCAUUCUCACACCUGUGCACCUUUAUGUGUUGGAUGAGGGGGGCCUUUUGUGCUCUUCUCGUCCGACUCUUUUUCACACCGUCCUCAAUGUCUUAUCGAAUGUCAAUUGCAUAAAUGCAACCGAAAUACAACUUUUAACAACGGAUCUCUUGGUUCUC